rnacentral:rRNA from 1 species
CACGGAGUUAGCCGAUCCUUAUUCUUACGGUACCAUCAGCCUCCUUAGAAAAGGAGGGUUUUUUCCCGUACAAAAGCAGUUUACAAUCCGUAGGACCUUCAUCCUGCACGCGGCAUGGCUGGUUCAGGCUUGCGCCCAUUGACCAAUAUUCCUUA